ensembl:snRNA U1 U1 spliceosomal RNA
CUAUUUACCUGACAGUAGACAGAGAUCAAUAACACGGUCCUCCUGGUGUAAGGUGUAUUCUUUGCAUUGCCAGCAUGCUGACUUGUGAUUUCCCUGAAUGUGGAGAAGUUGACUGCAUAAUUUGUAGUGAAAGACUGUAUUUACACCUUUAAA